rnacentral:miRNA from 1 species
ACACACACACACACAUACACGUGUGUGUGUGUGUGUGUGUGUGUGUGU